rnacentral:rRNA from 1 species
UACGUAGGGGGCAAGCGUUGUCCGGAAUAACUGGGCGUAAAGGGCGCGUAGGCGGCUUUUUAAGUCUGGAGUGAAAGUCCCGCUUUCAAGGUGGGAAUUGCUUUGGAAACUGGAGAGCUUGAGUGCAGAAGAGGUAAGUGGAAUUCCCAGUGUAGCGGUGAAAUGCGUAGAGAUUGGGAGGAACACCAGUGGCGAAGGCGACUUACUGGGCUGUAACUGACGCUGAGGCGCGAAAGCGUGGGUAGCAAACAGG